GUUCACCCAUUCUCCCAGCUGUAAACCUACCUCAGGCUAGUUGUGAUUUGUAAUUAUCCCCUGAACUGUUUACUUCCAGAUUAUAUUAAAUGAAAUCUAAGUUAUCAUGUCACAUCACUACGAAUAUUUCCAUCAGACAGGGCUGUUUGACUGUAGAGGUUCCUCUUCUAUAGGAAAGAAGUCUACAGGGGCAAAGCGCUCUGUUUAAGCUUAUAUAUGUUUUUAAAUUUGAAGUUGCAUUAUAUGUGUAUAUGUGUGUACGUGCAUGUGUGCGUGGGUGUGUGCAUGCCACAAUGCCCAUGUGAAGGUCAGAAUGAACAGCUUGUGGGAGCUGAUUCUAUCCUCUGCCGUGUAGGUCCUGGUGACUCAGGUAAUUAGGCUGGGUGGCAAGUGCCUUUACCCUCUGAGCCAUCUCGUUUAAGCUUAUAAUUAUAUUUAUGUCAUAACGUUUCUUUUCGUUUUCAAAACCAUUUAAGAUAUUUUAUAAAAAAAACCCGUGAAUGCAUUAGAAGGCAAAGACAGCGAGACAGCAUCAUCCUGCUUCUGUAUCUCGUCUUCAUCUUCUACACCUUGUCCCAUUGGAUGCUUUAAAAAGGAUCCUACACUUUUGCUUCUAAGUUUUUAGACUUUUCUGCAUUAAGAUUCUAUUUUUGAGAUUGUAAUUUAAUUACAUUUCUGCCUUCCAUUUCUUCCCUCCAAAUCUCAUAUGCCACUCCCUGCUGUCUUAAUUCAUUACCUCUAUUUUCAUUAAUUGGUAUUGUAUGCGAUAUGUACAAUAAGUAUUUGUAUAUAGACAUAUUACUGUGUAAAACCUGUUGGGUCCGUAUAAUGUUGCUUGAAUGCAUGCUGGUAUAGCCUGGUAGAAUUUCAUGAAGGAGGCAGAGGCAGGAGGAUCUAGGGUUUAAAACUACCUUGUUUAUUUUCUUUUAAAACAACAGAAAGAAAGAAAUGUUUAGAUAAAUGACAAAAUCUGUUGUUGAUGAAAUAGUCUAUUUAAUUUAAAAUGGAAACAAACAUUUCUUAGCUUUUAAAAAAAUCACUUCUCCGUCUAAUGUUUGGCUGUGAGUCUCUGUGCCCACCUUCCUCUAAACAUAUGUAGCUGGUGUGCACCUUGGUCUUCAUGCUGUCCCCUAAUGUCUGGAGCAGGGCCUUACCCUG
rnacentral:lncRNA from 1 species